AUUGAACGCUGGCGGCAUGCCUUACACAUGCGAGUCGAACGGCAGCACGGGUGCUUGCUCCUGGUGGCGAGUGGCGAACGGGUGAGUAAUACAUCGGAACAUGUCCUGUAGUGGGGGAUAGCCCGGCGAAAGCCGGAUUAAUACCGCAUACGAUCUACGGAUGAAAGCGGGGGACCUUCGGGCCUCGCGCUAUAGGGUUGGCCGAUGGCUGAUUAGCUAGUUGGUGGGGUAAAGGCCUACCAAGGCGACGAUCAGUAGCUGGUCUGAGAGGACGACCAGCCACACUGGGAGUGAGACACGGCCCAGACUCCUACGGGAGGCAGCAGUGGGGAAUUUUGGACAAUGGGCGAAAGCCUGAUCCAGCAAUGCCGCGUGUGUGAAGAAGGCCUGCGGGUUGUAAAGCACUUGUGUCCGGAAAGAAAUCCUUGGCCCUAAUACGGUCGGGGGAGGACGGUACCGGAAGAAUAAGCACCGGCUAACUACGU
rnacentral:rRNA from 1 species